ACCAGCGUGGCUUAGUGGUUUCAGUGUUGGUCUAGGAGUCCAGGGACCAGGGUUCAAAUUCCUACCUGGCC